rnacentral:rRNA from 15 species
AGCUAAUUAUAAUCGUUUAAGAUUUAAAACAGUGUAAAGUUGGUAGUUUCGCUGGGGCGGCGACCUCCUAAAAGGUAACGGAGGUGUACAAAGGUAAACUCAGUACAAUCAUAUUUUGUAUGUAGAGCGUAAUGGUAUAAGUUUGCUUGACUGUAAAAUAGACAUAUUGAGCAGGAACGAAAGUUGGUCAUAGUGAUCCGGUAGUUGUGAAUGGAAUGGCUAUCGCUCAACGGAUAAAAGGUACGCUAGGGAUAACAGGCU